UGGCAGAGAUCUGCUUAUAUAAGAAGAUCUGGAGGAGCUGCAGCUGGAAAUGUGAUGUCUGCUCGUGUUUAUAUAUGUGAUUGUGGAAGCUGAGGAGAUGCUGCUUAUUGUCUGAAGACUGUGAUCUCACCUGGAAAACCAUCUGUUCUGCACAAACCUGACCUGGCCUGUGAGAAUGCACACACUCGUGGGGUACAGACGUACAGACAGACACUCAUUGUGUCCUCACUGUCAUGAAGAUUACGUGUCUCGCAGAUUAUCUCUCAGAUGGGACGCUGCUCCUUCCCCUCCAAGAGCGCCUCCAGCAAAAAGGAGGUCAGGGAGGAGCAGGAGAGGCAGGAGGACAGAAGAGCAUCCCCUCAGGAACACACACACAGACACAGAUCUGGACACUGAAAUGGGAAUUUGCCACGCCUGGUCCUCUGGUGUCCAUCACCUCCACCCUCGCCUCUCUAAUGCUGCCGUGUGUGUUAGUUUUAUUAUUCAAGUUACACAAUAAAGGUUCACCGAAGGC